rnacentral:rRNA from 1 species
AACGAACGCUGGCGGCAUGCCUAACACAUGCAAGUCGAACGAGAUCUUCGGGUCUAGUGGCGCACGGGUGCGUAACGCGUGGGAAUCUGCCCUUUGGUUCGGAAUAACAGUUGGGAACGACUGCUAAUACCGGAUGAUGACGAAAGUCCAAAGAUUUAUCGCCAGAGGAUGAGCCCGCGUAGGAUUAGCUAGUUGGUGUGGUAAAGGCGCACCAAGGCGACGAUCCUUAGCUGGUCUGAGAGGAUGAUCAGCCACACUGGGACUGAGACACGGCCCAGACGCCUACGGGAGGCAGCAGUAGGGAAUAUUGGACAAUGGGCGAAAGCCUGUUCCAGCAAUGCCGCGUGAGUGAUGAAGGCCUUAGGGUUGUAAAGCUCUUUUACCCGGGAUGAUAAUGACAGUACCGGGAGAAUAAGCUCCGGCUAACUCCGUGCCAGCCGCCGCAGUAA